AUUGAACGCUGGCGGCAUGCUUUACACAUGCAAGUCGAACGGUAACAGGGUGCUUGCACCGCUGACGAGUGGCGAACGGGGGAGUAAUGCGUCGGAACGUGGCGAGUAGUGGGGGUAAACGCGUCGAAAGGGGUGCUAAUACUGCAUCCGUACUGUGGUAGAAAGUGGGGGACCUUAGGGCGUCUAGCUCUUCGAGCGGCCGGCGUCUGCUUAGCUAGUUGGUGAGGUAAAGGCUCACCAAGGCGACGAUCAGUAGCGGGUCUGAGAGGAUGAUCCGCCACACUGGGACUGAGGCACGGCCCAGACUCCUACGGGAGGCAGCAGUGGGGAAUUAUGGACAAUGGGCGCAAGGCUGAUCCAGCCAUGCCGCGUGUCUGAAGAAGGCCUUCGGGUUGUAAAGGACUUUUGUCCGGGAGCAAAUACCCAGUGCUAAUGACGCUGGGGGCUGAGAGUACCGGAAGAAUAAGCACCGGCUAACUACGUGCCAGCCGCCGCGGUAA
rnacentral:rRNA from 1 species